AUUGAACGCUGGCGGCAGGCUUAACACAUGCAAGUCGAGCGAGCGGCGGACGGGUGAGUAAUGUCUGGGAAUCUGCCUGAUGGAGGGGGAUAACUACUGGAAACGGUAGCUACAUACGCAUCCCUUCAGCUGUGCCCAGAUGGGAUUAGCUAGUAGGGGGGGUAAUGGCUCACCUAGGCGCGGAUCCCUAGCUGGUCGGAGAGGAUGACCAGCAACACUGAAACGGGGACAGGGUCCAAGCUCUUACGGGAGGCAGCGGUGGGAAAUAUGGCACAAGGGGCGAAAGCCUGAUGCGGCCAGGCCGCGUGUGGGAAAAAGGCUUUCGGGUGGUAAAGCACUUUCAGCGAGGAGGCGUUACUCGCAGAAGAAGCACCGGCUAACUCCGUGCCAGCAGCCGCGUAAUAC
rnacentral:rRNA from 1 species